GCAGAUAUCAGGAGGAACACCGAUGGCGAAGGCAGAUCUCUGGGCCGUAACUGACGCUGAGGAGCGAAAGGGUGGGGAGCAAACAGGCUUAGAUACCCUGGUAGUCCACCCCGUAAACGUUGGGAACUAGUUGUGGGGUCCUUUCCACGGAUUCCGUGACGCAGCUAACGCAUUAAGUUCCCCGCCUGGGGAGUACGGCCGCAAGGCUAAAACUCAAAGGAAUUGACGGGGACCCGCACAAGCGGCGGAGCAUGCGGAUUAAUUCGAUGCAACGCGAAGAACCUUACCAAGGCUUGACAUAUACGAGAACGGGCCAGAAAUGGUCAACUCUUUGGACACUCGUAUACAGGUGGUGCAUGGUUGUCGUCAGCUCGUGUCGUGAGAUGUUGGGUUAAGUCCCGCAACGAGCGCAACCCUCGUUCUAUGUUGCCAGCACGUUAUGGUGGGAACUCAUGGGAUACUGCCGGGGUCAACUCGGAGGAAGGUGGGGAUGACGUCAAAUCAUCAUGCCCCUUAUGUCUUGGGCUUCACGCAUGCUACAAUGGCCGGUACAAAGGGCUGCAAUACCGUGAGGUGGAGCGAAUCCCAAAAAGCCGGUCCCAGUUCGGAUUGAGGUCUGCAACUCGACCUCAUGAAGUCGGAGUCGCUAGUAAUCGCAGAUCAGCAACGCUGCGGUGAAUACGUUCCCGGGUCUUGUACACACCGCCCGUCAAGUCAUGAAAGUCGGUAACACCUGAAGCCGGUUGCCCAACCCUUGUGGAGGAGCCGUCGAAUGUGAUCGUAAUGUGCC
rnacentral:rRNA from 1 species